rnacentral:lncRNA from 1 species
GAGAGAGCGAUCCCCGAGCAGAUGCUAAAUCUUGUAUAAUGAAAGAAUCUGCCGAUGUCAAUUAUGUACGAGCGUCUUUGCAGUGGUUAGAGGCGGUGGGCGGGUGAGGGAGCGGAGGGCUGGGUGCAUCCCAUAAACCCAAACACCCAUCAAAGGCUCAUACAUAUGGAGCGGUGGAGAUUACGGCAUAAAUUUGAAUGUUAUGAAUGUACAUGAGGGACAGACAGGAAGCCCACCUCAUAAGGCACGAGGAACUGAGCCCAGGAGCUCCAACAAACCAGUCAAGAACUCUACCACUGAGUUAUCCCCCCAACCUCUAGUGUGGGUAGAGGGAUCCUGGAAGACAGCCUGGAGGAAGAAGUCACCAUUUGCUACAGAGGGGACAAAUGGCUCAGAACGGCAAUUCGGGGGAGGGGGGAGGGGGGCAGCUUUCUGUUCUUAGGUACACGUUCACACUGCACACGGGGAGUGUGUGAGUGUGUACACACAAGUACACCCUGGACCAGAGCUCAGACCCCCUCCAUCGGUUCCCAACCUGCAGCUGCUCCCAGAACCCGACGCUGUGAUUUGUAGUGCAGGCCACCCAGGGACUUUAAUCUUCACCGUGACAAAUGCAAUAAAAGGAACAAUU